AAGACUUUAGCUUAAUUAAAGCGCCUGGGUUGCAUUCAGGAGCUGUGGGAUAAAGUCCUGCAAGUCUUA
rnacentral:tRNA from 1 species